UACGUAGGGUGCAAGCGUUGUCCGGAAUUAUUGGGCGUAAAGAGCUCGUAGGCGGUUCGUCGCGUCUGCUGUGAAAUCCCGAGGCUCAACCUCGGGUCUGCAGUCGAUACGGGCGGGCUGGAGUUCGGCAGGGGAGACUGGAAUUCCUGGUGUAGCGGUGAAAUGCGCAGAUAUCAGGAGGAACACCGGUGGCGAAGGCGGGUCUCUGGGCAUUAACUGACGCUGAGGAGCGAAAGCAUGGGGAGCGAACAGG
rnacentral:rRNA from 1 species